GUAUCUGAGACAAGAUGGCGGGCAGGCUGGCCAGCUUCUAGCUAAUGUCUGUUAAGGUAGACCGGCUGAGGGUGGCUAUAGCCGGUGACGCUGGUGUCCCCUCUUCCAGCUGCUAUCCUAGAACUUUCUACUGCCUCCCGGAGAGUCUGAGACACCUCCACUGUAGGUCAGGCCCCCGCCACUCGCACACGUCUUCAGAUAUACAGAUGCUGCCAAGAAGGAAGAAAAGCCACUGGGGUUAGGACUCUCACCUCGCCGAAAGGAAGGAGGUUCUGAAGAUGAACUCAGAGCCCAAACGUUCCACAGAGCCAUGCUGUGCCUCAUCAAGCCUCACUUAGGAGGACUGGGGUCCUACCUAGCCAGCUGCCCAGGGCCCGAGGCUUUCCUCCGGAACCAAUCUACUUCUUACAAGGACCUGCUUUGCUCCUGAAUCGCUCUACAUUUAGAGAACACAGUUCUAGGUGCUCUGGUGACCAGACGACAAGUGUGCAGCUAAUGAAGACUCGAAUCAGCAGCCGUUCCCUGGCAAGGGUGGUGGAGUGGGCGGAGUGGGUAGGGGGCUGAAAGAGCGCCGAUGGGGCGGCUGUGGUAGCGUUCGUCCAUCUUUAGUCCCAGCACAUCGGGGUGGGAAGAGGUAGGUCUCUGUGAGUUCCAGGCCAGUCUGGUCCACAUCAAGUUUCAGGCCAACUAUACAGAGGGUACAGGGUGGCAUGCUGACUAUGGGUGAGGGGGACAGAGGCAUAUUGGUCAAUUGGGGUUUGCCUGGCUGUCGGGGCCCUUGCUGCGAUGAGGCUGCAGCUCUGAGAGUCUGAAGUUCUUUGCCUUCUCAGAAACCCUCCGCUCUCCUCUGCAGCUCCCCAGCACACUGGUCUGAAGCCUCACCAGGCUAAUAAGCAUAGCCCAGGACGGCCCACUCCAUCUGGUCUAGUUCAUAGGAACCAAGAGCUUUUCAAGUCCAGGGUGUGGCCGGAGACUGAGGAACUUCCCCGAGCAACUGCAGUCUGCUGCCCAGGGCUGCAGCUCCUACUGAGAAGGCCUUUGUUUAUCCCAGAUCCCUGAAUAUCCUGCAUGCCAGGGACAACAACCGGGGCUUCAGCUUGCAAGCUGCCCCCUCGCUGGGCCCAGAAGCAGUACUGACAAAACCAAAGAACCCCGACAUCUGGGCAGCUGUGUUGCUGUUCUAGAAAAAUAAACACAAACGGCUCUGCCAGCUUGGUGCGCGCCUGGGUUCUGGUUUAUGGGACAAGUCUGAUUAGCCUGAUGCUUUUCCAGCCUGCCAGGACAGCUGCCCUAACGCAGGCCUUAACUCAAUCACACUCGGUGGGCCCAAUCCAAUUUAGUUAGAGCCAGAGGGCCGGGUGUGAGAGUCCCCAGGGAGUGCGUGCAGGAUGGGGGCUUCCUCUUCCAGGCAUCAGGCCGCUUGGGGACGUCAUUUUAGCAACACUAAUCAAUUAGCCUGGGAGGCUGAGCUGCUUCCAGCAGGGGGGCUGGCGGGCAGUCUCACUUCCUUCUAACAGCUGAGACCGCUGGCCUUUCUCCCCUCUGCCUGGUUAUAGAUGGGAGGCCAUGAAUGUUGGGGGCUGUCCAAGGACAGAGGCUCAGACGAGUGGGAGGACUCCGGAGCAGACAUGUGGCCAGGCGGGCAGAGGGCUUGACGUAUGUGAGACUGUCAGCGGAGUUAGGGAUGGUAGCCUGUAGGUGUGCCUGCUUGGUUUGCCCCAGUUUUAACCUCCCUUCUGCAUGCUCCAGUCACCAGUAGGACUUUGGUAGCCACGCCAGCAGGGACAGACAGACAGACAGACUCAUGGGACUGCUGUUAACUCCUAUCUCCAUGAUUCAGGAGCAGAGAGCAAGGGCCUGGCUGGCCAGGUGUUGAUAUCCCCACCUACCUCUGCCCGUGCCUAAGGGGCUAUGCCAACAGAAACCCACAGCCCUGUUCUCCUCGAGAGGGCCUGGGGACUUUCUGGGCUCUGUAGCUAGCUCAGUUACCACAUUCCUGAACCCACUGCUUCCCAUGGAGCCUGCCAGCCAGCCAGCCGUUGGCUUAAAGCUGCAGCCAGUUCUGCUUU
rnacentral:lncRNA from 1 species